AUAUUACACACACAGAGACGAAGAGAACCCAGAAGCCAAAGAGGCUCCAGCUUUUUAGAUGGUUACUUGGUUCCCUUAAGAAGGGUAACUCUACUAUUUGGCAUAUCUAGAGAGAGAGAGAGAGAGAGAGAGAGAGAGAGAUGGGGAGAGGGAAUCAGAAUCAUUCAGCUGAGACAACAAGAUCCAAUUCCAGGAUUUGGCAAGAAGAGGGCCCGGAUCCUCUGGAUGAACAGCCUGAAAUCCUUGAAUCUGCAGGCGAAUCCAUGGAGAACAAUGACAGUGAACUAGAGCCAAAUGGGUCGGUAAAAGAGAAGACGAUGAAGAAGAAGAAGAAGAAGGAGAAGAAGGGGGUGUUCCUUGAAGGGUAUGUGGAGGCAGGAGGGGAAGAAGAGGAUCUAACAAGGACCAAGAGCUUGACGGAUGAGGAUUUGGAGGAGCUAAGGGGCUGUUUGGACCUUGGAUUUGGCUUCAGCUACGAUGAGAUCCCUGAGCUCUGCAACACCUUGCCGGCUCUAGAGCUCUGCUACUCCAUGAGCCAGAGGUUUCUCGACGAUCAUCCCCACAAGUCGCCGGAUUCCGCUGCCUCCCCCGACGAGACCUCUUCUCCGCCGCCCUCUGGCCCCAUUGCCAGUUGGAGGAUCUCUAGCCCUGGUGACCACCCCGAAGAUGUGAAAGCCAGGCUCAAGUUUUGGGCACAGGCUGUGGCGUGCACUGUCAGAUUAUGCAGCUAGAAGAAAACACCCCCGUCGAGAAUUUGAUAGCUUAAGACCUUCCAUUGAGAGCUUGUCCUCCAUAAUCCAUUUGAUCCUUUAUAGGAGCUGCCUGCAGGGUCUACAGUUCCUUCUAUUCUUUACCUGGAGUUGGACAGUACAGAGUCCGUCAGUGAUGGGUUGGCUUUUAAAGUAGAGGGGGAGGGAGAGAGGAUGCAGUGUGUUUCAGGUCCGACUUCCGAGAUUAACCAAAUACCCAAUGAGAGUCUAACAUAAUUCACCUGAGGCUGCUCUAAUGUUACAUUUAGAAUAAACUACAAUGCGAAUAAGUUUCUUCUCCUUUGAUGUGUGCAUUCUAUUCGUAGUCAUUGUUGAUGUUUCACAGUGUUUCAUAGUAUUCUCUCUUGUUGUGUAUGCAGUGGUGAGAGAGCCUCCAUUGGAGCUUCAUCAGCUACUUGGAGAUCUCUGCAUUGCUGAGACCACCUGCCAAAGGAGAUGCGCGAUUUGCAAGCUUUAUUCCAUUAGAUGGGGUCUACUACAUGAAUUGUGGGUUUCCGGGGUUGUAUUAUCUACAGUGAUUUGUUAAUCCUGACUCUGGCCAUUUGUCUUGGGUUGAGACUGCUCAUAGUCUGCAAGGAAAGAAAAUUUUGGGGAAAAGGUCAAAGAAGGAAGCUCCCUCAAUGAAUAAUGGGAGAUAUGGUGAUGCAUGCACCUUCCACGAAUCUUCCUUCCUUCUGUAUCAUUCAUAUCUGGCUGGCUGGCUGGCUGGCUUUUAUUACACAGAGAGAGAGAGAGAGAGAGAGAGAGAGAGAGAGCUCCGAUUUAUUUUAGUUGCACUGUUUUGUCUGUUUGAACGCAAAGCCAAAGGUGUGAAAAGUAUGCAUUUGAUGAGUUAGGCGCAGCCGAGGAAGAAAGUGAGUUGAAGCAUGAGGAAAACAUGGCCG